GGUUCCAUGGUGUAAUGGUUAGCACGUACUCGAGACUCUGAAUCUCGCGAUCCGAGUUCAAAUCUCGGUGGGACCU
rnacentral:tRNA from 1 species